GAUAAUCUGUCCUCACCCGCCUUUGAAUUGGAUGAUAAUCGCGAAAUGCACAAUUCUGCACCUGAGUAGUUUCAAGCUUCCCCAUAUUCCCCUCCAAGAGUUCAUCAAAUCCCGCCCAGGAAUCCUCUGAAAUCUCAGUUAAAUUUCUUCCUCUCGUCCAAAACGCUAGCUUGGUAACCUUCUUUUGUCUUAAAACCACAAAACCCUCAAACUCUUCAUGCAUGAACACUAACACCACUACUAACAACCCCUUAAAUUUCCCUUUCCAUUUGGAAUAUGGGGCGAAUCAAUUCCAUUACAACUGACCUCCUCCACAAGUGUUUGACGAUUACUACUGGCCUCCGCCACAAGUGUUUGAUGAUUAUUGUACUACCAGGCAUUUUGGAGCUGAUUUUCAGUUUUUCAGGAAACCCGGAAUUUCUGAACCAAUGCUUAAUUCAAGUUCAAGAAUGUGUCAUAUUGUCUUCAACUUCCGGGUCAAACGAAGCAGGGCCCAUCAAUGCCAGGCCACAGCCCUGCCGGCUAUAUACAAGUGGCUACUGCAACUCCGGAGCCAACUGUGUAUUUAGUCAUGAUGAGGCUGGUGAAGAGAAUUACAGAACUCCGAUAUGGGUGUACUUGUGGGUGGCCACCAGAUUAGGACCAACUGUUGGUUCUCAGUUUAUGGAAAAGAAUGUCCACAUGGCAAUAGAUGCAACUUUUAUCAUCUUAGUGUUAGAGAUGAUAAGGGAGGUUUUCGCGUGCCUAAAUUUAGGCAGACUACUGCAAUUACUGUUUUGAGUACAAAAACUGAGGGUUACAGAAAACAGUUUGGUCAAUUGGAACGCAAGAGGUUUAUGGAUUUGAAACUCUGAUGGUGCUAGUCAAAAGAAACAAAAGGCAGAGCCUUUGAAGACAAGGCUCCGUGACAAGUGGGAAUAAGAUGGCAGCUGCCCGGAUGGUGAAAAAUGCUAAUAUGCUCAUGGGUUUACGGGUAUUUUGUAGUUAGAUUCGUUUGGUUUACUUGAUGUUGCUUCUGGUCGUAAUUAGUGAAUUAGUUCCUUAUUCAUUUGACAUUUACGCAGUUACACUACCAAUGGUUGGGUAAACAAUGUUGGCGGCUGGUACGAAGUUUCAUGGUUGGACCAUAUUGUUUUCCGUGAAUCUUAGUUAUACUGAAACUUCAAAAGUUUGGUUUUUCCCCCCAGUGGAAUCUGGAGAAUCCUUACUGGCAGAAAAUGUUGCUGGUGAUGUAGAGGAUGCAGGUAUGAAGGAGAUCAGAUCCGUUGACAAGUAGCAGAAGCAUAAGUGGCUUACGAAGUGGAACAACGUUGAGAAGAUUAGUCAUGUCUAUGCUGAUUGGAUUGAAAGUAUGCCACAUGUUCCUCCAGGCAGCCUGUGAUGCCGAAUUUUGAAAACGUGAAUGAUGUACCAAAAUUCUUUGUAAUUAUUGUUCAGACUGAAGGAUAGUGUAAUCUCUUUAGCAGAGAUUUGUUAUUAGGUCAAUUUCAGACUGAAGGAUAGCGUAAUCUCUUUAGCAGAGAUUUGUUAUUAGGUGAAUUUGACGCAGUUAUUUUGCUAAACUUUUCAGGUGUAGCAAAGAAAAGCGUCUCGAAGAUCACUUCUUUUCUCUCUUUUGUUUGGAAAAGUGCCGUGUAUUCCCUUUGAUUGUAUUGUGCAGUACGUAGAGAAGAAAGAAAUAGACAGCCAAGAGUAGCAUGACUUUCAGCCUUUCAGGUCCCCAUUUACAAAAUUAGUUUCUUGCAGAUUAUUGUACUAUUGUAAGAAGUGAAACAUAUGAUUUUUGUCAAUUUUCCCUUGACGGGGUAUAAUUGCAGUCUGAAAAAGGUUUACCAAUCUGGAACUUAACUGCAACUAUGAUUUUCCCGUGAUUUUCCUGGGUGUUUGGGGCGGGUGAAAAAAUUGCAUAUUCAACAGGAACGUAACUGCAACUAUGAUUUACAGUUGUAGUGAUUGUGUUUCAUAGCAGGAACACCUGUUAAUGAUAGUACAAGCAUAAGCUGAAAAUCUCGGUUCCGAGGGGCCUCCUC